rnacentral:tRNA from 1 species
UCCCUGGCAGUCCAGUAGUUAGGACUCUGCAUUUGCAUUGCAGUGAACAUGGGUUCAAUCCCUGGUCAAGAGGA